GGAAGCACCGACUCAUUUCUCAACCAAUGAAUGAACCACGACAGCCCGGAUGUCACCUGACUCAGUCAUAAUUCACUGCUUGAACGGCGUUUGACCCUCGCGGUGUGGUCUUGGCGGGAUGACGAGUCCUCCGUCACACCCACGUACGUCCCGCCCUAAGAGGACACCACCACACGGAACAACAGCACGUCACCGAGACCAGAUGUUGGCGCCAACGUCAUGAAACCUUCAUGUAGGAAACAUUGCUCACUUUCCCCGCACAUCAUCCUCCCUGCUAAUGACCAAAGGACUGGUGUGGCCCUCGGGGGUCAGGGGGACUCCCAUUGUGUGUGUGUGAAGACUUCCAGAUGGAUGCCAUCUUGGGAAGGCCUCACCUGUCAGCUGCAGGUCUAACUGACUCCCCUCCUUCUACAUGACUUUGUGCAGCGUCCUUCAAGAACAUUUCCCAUCUUCUUGGACUUCAAGAAGGUCUUACAUGUCCUCGCCUCUCUUCUAGUCCCUCAUCCCUGUAGACACUUCAUGUCUCCACUUGGAAAGCACUGAGUCCAAAAAUCAAAGCCUUCAUUUGAUUCAGUGGCCUAGUGGUUAGAGUGUCCGCCCUGAGAUGGGGAGGUCGUGAGUUCGAACCCCGGCCGAGUCAUACCAAAGACUAUAAAAAUGGGAGCCAUUACCUCCCUGCUUGGCACUCAGCAUCAAGGCUGGGAAUUGGGGGUUAAAUCACCAAAAUGAUUCCCGGGCGUGGCCACCGCUGCUGCUCAGUGCUCCCCUCACCUCCCAGGGGGUGAUCAAGGGUGAUGGGUCAAAUGCAGAGAAUAAUUUCACCACACCUAGUGUGUGUGUGUGUGUGUGUGACUAUCAGUGGUACUUUAACUUUAAUUAUAGCAUUUUCUUUUUGUAGAAUUGCCACUUUUUUUUUUAACAAGACUUUUGUUUCACAGUAAAAUGAUCUAAAACCUUGUAACAUUUACAAUUUUUACUUAUUUUUUUAACUUGUUUUUCUUGUAAAAUUGUGUCUUUUCUGUGUAAUAUUUAUGCCUUAUCACAUUCUUCUCACAAAGUUACAACUGUUUUCAUGAUUUUUUAGCACUUUUUUUUUCCUCCGGUAAAAUUAUGACUUUUUUUCGGGCAUAAUUGCAACUUUUUAUUGUAAAGUUAUGACUUUUUAUCGUUGCAAAGUUGGGUCGUCUUUUUUUGUCAAAUGAUGACUUUUUCUAUUGUGACUUUGUCCUCUUAAUACUUUGUUUUAAUCAUAGCAUUUUAUUUUUGUAGAAUUGCCACUUUUUGUUGUAAUUAGACUUUUGUUUCAUAUUAAUAUGAUUUAAAACCUUGUAACAUUUAGAAUUUUUACUCUUUUUUUUUUUUUAAAUGUUUGACUUUUUUUUCUUGUAAA